GAUGAACGCUGGCGGCGUGCCUAAUACAUGCAAGUCGAGCGAACAGACGAGGAGCUUGCUCCUCUGACGUUAGCGGCGGACGGGUGAGUAACACGUGGAUAACCUACCUAUAAGACUGGGAUAACUUCGGGAAACCGGAGCUAAUACCGGAUAACAUGUUGAACCGCAUGGUUCAACAGUGAAAGACGGUCUUGCUGUCACUUAUAGAUGGAUCCGCGCCGCAUUAGCUAGUUGGUAAGGUAACGGCUUACCAAGGCAACGAUGCGUAGCCGACCUGAGAGGGGGAUCGGCCACACUGGAACUGAGACACGGUCCAGACGCCUACGGGAGGCAGCAGUAGGGAACCUUCCGCAAUGGGCGAAAGCCUGACGGAGCAACGCCGCGUGAGUGAAGAAGGUCUUCGGAUCGUAAAACUCUGUUAUUAGGGAAGAACAAAUGUGUAAGUAACUAUGCACGUCUUGACGGUACCUAAUCAGAAAGCCACGGCUAACUACGUG
rnacentral:rRNA from 1 species